rnacentral:rRNA from 1 species
GAUGAACGCUGGCGGCGUGCCUAAUACAUGCAAGUCGAGCGAACGGACGAGAAGCUUGCUUCUCUGAUGUUAGCGGCGGACGGGUGAGUAACACGUGGAUAACCUACCUAUAAGACUGGGAUAACUUCGGGAAACCGGAGCUAAUACCGGAUAAUAUUUUGAACCGCAUGGUUCAAAAGUAAAAGACGGUCUUGCUGUCACUUAUAGAUGGAUCCGCGCUGCAUUAGCUAGUUGGUAAGGUAACGGCUUACCAAGGCAACGAUGCAUAGCCGACCUGAGAGGGUGAUCGGCCACACUGGAACUGAGACACGGUCCAGACUCCUACGGGAGGCAGCAGUAGGGAAUCUGCCGCAAUGGGCGAAAGCCUGACGGAGCAACGCCGCGUGAGUGAUGAAGGUCUUCGGAUCGUAAAACUCUGUUAUUAGGGAAGAACAUAUGUGUAAGUAACUGUGCACAUCUUGACGGUACCUAAUCAGAAAGCCACGGCUAACUACGUG